GCAAAAGCCUAUGGCACCAACCUUCUUAUAACUCAGGCGCAGGGCCCUGGCGCACUCGAAGAUUUCGGGUUCACGCAUUUCGCGGCCGUUUUCUUUCAUGAAGUUCGGGAGGUCAAGUAGGUCAAACCUACCGGCGAUGAUGUUUUCGAACGAUAAUAUGGCUCCACCAAAGAAGUCGGGGAGGUAGACAGUUACAUUAGCCUCACGUGCGUAGUGGUCGGCUAAUAUGCGCAGGUUGGGAAAUGUCCAACCAAACAGAUCAUGAAUGAGCAUCACGGCGACAUCGGAGUUGUCGCCGGCAAUGUAGACGUCGUUAUUGCCAAGUUUCCCAACCCGUCCGGUUGGCGUACCGUCCCAUUCGAACCCUUUAAGGCAGCAGUCUGACGCUGACAUUUUGGCCGGUGGAAAGAUAUUGGCACAAAAAUAUAUUUGCAAAAUUGCUGGAUAUACCUUUUGCUGGAC
rnacentral:sRNA from 1 species